GCACUAUUGAAGAGUCCAAUACUAGGACUAAACGGCCGUCAAGUGC
rnacentral:hammerhead_ribozyme from 1 species